AUUGAACGCUGGCGGCAGGCCUAACACAUGCAAGUCGAGCGAGCGGCGGACGGGAGAGUAAUGUCUGGGAAACUGCCUGAUGGAGGGGGAUAACUACUGGAAACGGUAGCUAAUACCGCAUACCCUCGGAUGUGCCCAGAUGGGAUUAGCGAGGAGUGGGGGUAACGGCGCACCUAGGCGACGAUCCCUAGCUGGUCUGAGAGGAGGACCAGCCACACUGGAACUGAGACACGGCCCAAACUCCUGCGAGAGGCAGCAGUGGGGAAAAUUGCACAAUGGGCACAAGCCUGAUGCAGCCAUGCCACGUGUAUGAAGAAGGCCUUCGGGUUGUAAAGUACUUUCAGCGGGGAGGCGUUACCCGGAGAAGAAGCACGGGCUAACUCCGUGCCAGCAGCCGCGGUAAUAA
rnacentral:rRNA from 1 species